AGGGCACCACCAGGAGUGGAGCCUGCGGCUUAAUUUGACUCAACACGGGGAAACUUACCCGGCCUGGACACUGGAAGGAUUGACAGAUUGAGAGCUCUUUCUUGGUUCAGUGGGUGGUGGUGCAUGGCCGUUCUUAGUUGGUGGAGCGAUUUGUCUGGUUAAUUCCGAUAACGAACGAGACUCUAGCCUAUUAAAUAGGCUCUCGGCUUUUAAACGCCGGGAGGACUUCUUAGAGGGACAGGUGGCGGUUCAGCCGCACGAAAGAGAGCAAUAACAGGUCUGUGAUGCCCUUUGUUGUCCGGGGCCGCACGCGCGCUACACUGAAGAGAUCAGCGUGCUUUACGUUCCUGCUCCGACCGGAGUGGGGAACCCAGUGAACCUUCUUCGUGAUUGGGAUAGAAGAUUGUAAUUAUUCUUCUUGAACGAGGAAUUCCCAGUAAAUGCGAGUCAUAAGCUCGCGUUGAUUACGUCCCUGCCCUUUGUACACACCGCCCGUCGCUACUACCGAUUGAACGAUUU
rnacentral:rRNA from 1 species